AUUGUUGCGUACCUGUAGCGCAAUGGACUUCUAAUUCAAAGGUUGUGGGUUCGAAUCCCACCAGAGAUG